CAGGCAGUGAUAUGCAGUGAAUAUAUAAUUGAUCUUAUAUUUUUUAACUAAAAAAUUCUGUUAUUUUAUAAUAGAGUAUAACAAAGAAUAUUAUUUUUAAUUUGUAGGAAUUAGUUCCCAACAUCAAUAAGUAUCAGUCUUUUACUUGGAGUCUUUGAUUGGGAUGAACUACUACACUACAAUGCGGCAAUGCAAGAGUGGAAGAAGAGAAUAAUGUCGUUCAUGUUGCCUUCCGAUCCGAACACAUGUCUUGGAUGGAAGAUAGGUACUCUUCUUCUCUAUUAUUUCUUCCUCUCUUUUCAAAUUUUAAUUCUAUUUAUAUGUAAUGUAUGCAGCCAGACUCACAAUCUAAGAAAAGAAACCUUGCAGCAACAAUAUCAAUCAGUAAGAUAUUUCUAUCUAACAAUAUUAUAACAUCAUAUUCAUAUUGAUACAUGAUAAUCAGCAAGGUUUCUUUGUAUUGUUAUACAUGUGAAGAAACAGUCUUCUAAUUAUAACAACUAUGCGAUUGGUUCUCAUGUGAUGGAUAGUAUGGUGAUACCAAAAUCAAAACUGAUAAGCUCUCUCUCUUUAAAGGCUUUGAUCCUGCAUCCAUCAACAUCCCUCCAAACAAUAGCAUCCUACCACCACAGACCUCUAUUGAAGUUGUUAACUAGAGAGAUGCAGAUCUUUUCUUCAUGUGGCAAAGGUACAAGAUUUUGGAACAUGAAGCAGAAGAAAAGGCACAAGCCCUGAAGGAGAUUAGAGAGACGGUGGAU